rnacentral:lncRNA from 1 species
UCGUCCUUCUACCAUUAUUCGCUUUUGCCUUUAGCCUAAUUCGUAUUUUCUCGUCAUCAAUAGUGGAGAAGAAAAUUCUAGAAGUUGCAACAAUUAUUUUGGGUAUGUUCUUCUUAUAAUUUUUCUUUUUUGUGUAUUUCUUUUUUUAUUUUCUUACUAUUUAUUUAAGGUAUGUAGUUUUCCUUUGUUUGUAGAUGAAAAUCUAGCUGGGUUCGUCUUCCUUUAACUCCAUAUAAGGUAUGUUCUCAUUUCUGUACAUGCAUGAAAAUAUAUCUACGUUUUACAUAUUCAUGGUUCAUGAGGUUGAAGGUCAUGAAUUUUCGCCGUUUCGAAGCUGGUGAGGAAUCAACUAUCAUCAUUCAUAGCCAACUUCAACAAUUUCAAAUCACUAUUUCACUCCAUUUUUCAUUCACUGUAGAAGAAAAUGAAAUUGCACUGGACGCAAAAAAAAAAUGUUAAUAGAGGGUGAAAAUUAUAUAGAUGUGUACAUACACAUUUACAUACAUACAUGUUUACGUGUGUGAGGAGAGGGGAUUACUUUUCUUCGUAUAGAAUAUAUUUUAUUUAAUUAGUAUAUAAUAAUAAAAUAGUAUCUGCCUUUACUAUAAGAGAGGAGAUUGUCCAAGUUAUUGUUUAUGUUUGGCACAAUUUCACACGUAACCAGUUUCUUCCUUUAGUAUGUAGACUAGAGAUAUUUUUUUCUUAUUCUUAUCUAAUAUGAAAAUUAUUUAAGUUGAAAACGCCUAACUUUGUAUGAACUUUAAAAAUUCUUUAAAAUAUAUGUGUUGGGGACAUGUAGAUUUAUAUUAACUUUAAAGAUGAAUAAAAUUUGAAUUGAAGGCGCCGUGUAGUAUUUAGUGCCAUGCCUUGAUUUUUUAUAAAUUGAUAGAUGACCGUGGUAGAUAGAAGUCUUGUCUAAGUUAAAUAGUUAUAAUGGAAGUGUAUU